rnacentral:rRNA from 1 species
UACGGAGGAUGCAAGCGUUAUCCGGAAUGAUUGGGCGUAAAGCGUCCGCAGGUGGCGAUGUAAGUCUGCUGUUAAAGAGUGAGGCUCAACCUCAUAAGAGCAGUGGAAACUACAUAGCUAGAGUGCGGUAGGGGCAGAGGGAAUUCCUGGUGUAGCGGUGAAAUGCGUAGAGAUCAGGAAGAACACCGGUGGCGAAAGCGGCGCGCUGGACCACUACUGACGCUGAGGAACGAAAGCUAGGGGAGCAAACAGG